GAUGAACGCUGGCGGCGUGCCUAAUACAUGCAAGUCGAGCGAACGGACGAGGAGCUUGCUCCUCCGACGUUAGCGGCGGACGGGUGAGUAACACGUGGAUAACCUACCUAUAAGACUGGGAUAACUUCGGGAAACCGGAGCUAAUACCGGAUAAUAUAUUGAACCGCAUGGUUCAAUAGUGAAAGACGGUUUUGCUGUCACUUAUAGAUGGAUCCGCGCCGCAUUAGCUAGUUGGUAAGGUAACGGCUUACCAAGGCGACGAUGCGUAGCCGACCGGAGAGGGUGAUCGGCCACACUGGAACUGAGACACGGUCCAGACUCCUACGGGAGGCAGCAGUAGGGAAUCUUCCGCAAUGGGCGAAAGCCUGACGGAGCAACGCCGCGUGAGUGAUGAAGGUCUUCGGAUCGUAAAACUCUGUUAUUAGGGAAGAACAAAUGUGUAAGUAACUAUGCACGUCUUGACGGUACCUAAUCAGAAAGCCACGGCUAACUACGUG
rnacentral:rRNA from 1 species